AGAGUUUGAUCCUGGCUCAGAAUGAACGCUGGCGGCGUGCUUAACACAUGCAAGUCGAGCGAAACGCCCCUUCGGGGGUUAGUAAGCGGCGGACGGGUGUGUAAUGCGUGAGAAUCUAUCCUUUUGUGAAGGAUACCCUCAAGAAAUUGAGGUUAAUACUGCAUAAGUCCCUACGGGGAGAAAAGUGACUUUAUGUUGCUGCUGAAGGAUGAGCUCGCGUGCUAUCAGCUAGUUGGUGGGGUAAUUGCCUACCAAGGCUAUGACGGCUAUCCGGCCCGAGAGGGUGUACGGACACAUUGGGACUGAGAUACGGCCCAAACUCCUACGGGAGGCAGCAGUGAGGAAUAUUGCGCAAUGGACGAAAGUCUGACGCAGCGACGCCGCGUGGAGGAUGAAGGUUUUCGGAUUGUAAACUCCUUUCGAGUGGGAAGAAAGACCUGGUUGUAAUAUAGCUGGGGGAUGACGGUACCACUAAAAGAAGCACCGGCUAACUUCGUGCCAGCAGCCGCGGUAAUACGAGGGGUGCAAGCGUUAUUCGGAAUUAUUGGGCGUAAAGGGUGCGUAGGUGGCAUGUUAAGUCUGUUGUUCAAUCUCUCGGCCUAACCGAGAGUUCGCGGCAGAAACUAACAAGCUAGAGUGUGAGAGAGAGAAGUGGAAUUCUUGGAGUAGCGGUUAAAUGCGUAGAUAUCAAGAGGAACACCGAUGGCGAAAGCAGCUUCUUGGCUCACUACUGACACUGAGGCACGAAAGCGUGGGGAGCAAACAGGAUUAGAUACCCUGGUAGUCCACGCCGUAAACGAUGAUCACUAGGCGUUGGUUCAGCAUAGCUGAAUCAGUGUCGUAGCUAACGCGUUAAGUGAUUCGCCUGGGGAUUACGGUCGCAAGACUAAAACUUAAAGGAAUUGACGGGGGUCCGCACAAGCGGUGGAACAUGUGGUUUAAUUCGACACUACGCGAGGAACCUUACCUGGGCUUGACAUACACUUGACCGCUAUGGAAACAUGGCUUUUUAGGCUUCGGUUUAAACAGGUGAACAGGUGCUGCAUGGCUGUCGUCAGCUCGUGUCGUGAGACGUUAGGUUAAGUCCUCUAACGAGCGCAACCCCUGCUGCUAGUUGCAACUGUUCGAAAGAAUAAGGCACUCUAGUGGGACUGCCUGGGAAACCAGGAGGAAGGUGGGGAUGACGUCAAGUCAUCAUGGUCCUUAUGUCCAGGGCUACACACGUGUUACAAUGGUUGGUACAGAGGGGUGCAAUACUGUAAAGUGGAGCAAAUCCCAAAAGCCAAUCUAAGUUCGGAUUGAGGUCUGCAACUCGACCUCAUGAAGUUGAAAUCGCUAGUAAUCGCGCAUCAGCAACGGCGCGGUGAAUACGUUCUCGGACCUUGUACACACCGCCCGUCAAGCCAUGAAAGCUGUUUGUACCCAAAGUUGUCUUAGCUAACCUGUAAAGGAGGCGGGCACCUAAGGUGUGAAUGGUGAUUGGGGCUAAGUCGUAACAAGGUA
rnacentral:rRNA from 1 species